rnacentral:sRNA from 1 species
GAUUGUUUUUAGUAAGACUUUCUUCUACCAGUACCAAGCAUUAAAUACAUUAUUACAUUUCAGGAGGAAGUUCUUAUUAUGGAAAAUGGAACAGUAAAAUGGUUUAACCCAGAAAAAGGUUACGGUUUCGUAACUCGUGAAGAUGGUAGUGACGUAUUCGUUCACUUCUCAGCUAUCCAAAGUGAAGGUUACAAAACUCUAGAAGAUGGUCAAUCAGUUUCUUUCGAUAUCGAAGAAAGUGACCGUGGACCACAAGCAGUUAACGUUAACAAACUUUAAUAGCUAGAAAAAAGCCCUGACGGGGCUUUUUUUUU